GACGAACGCUGGCGGCGUGCUUAACACAUGCGAGUCGAACGGAAAGGCCCUGCUUUUGUGGGGUGCUCGAGUGGCGAACGGGUGAGUAACACGUGAGUAACCUGCCCUUGACUUUGGGAUAACUUCAGGAAACUGGGGCUAAUACCGGAUAGGAGCUCCUGCUGCAUGGUGGGGGUUGGAAAGUUUCGGCGGUUGGGGAUGGACUCGCGGCUUAUCAGCUUGUUGGUGGGGUAGUGGCUUACCAAGGCUUUGACGGGUAGCCGGCCUGAGAGGGUGACCGGCCACAUUGGGACUGAGAUACGGCCCAGACUCCUACGGGAGGCAGCAGUGGGGAAUAUUGCACAAUGGGCGGAAGCCUGAUGCAGCAACGCCGCGUGCGGGAUGACGGCCUUCGGGUUGUAAACCGCUUUCGCCUGUGACGAAGCGUGAGUGACGGUAAUGGGGAAAGAAGCACCGGCUAACUACGG
rnacentral:rRNA from 1 species